rnacentral:rRNA from 1 species
UUCCGGUUGAUCCCGCCGGAGGCCAUUGCUAUCAGGGUUUGACUAAGCCAUGCGAGUCGAGAGGUGUAAGACCUCGGCAUACUGCUCAGUAACACGUGGUUAACCUGCCCUAAGGUGGAGCAUACUCCCGGGAAACUGGGGCUAAUUCUCCAUAGUGGAUGUAUCCUGGAAUGGUAUAUCCUCGAAAGAUCCGUCGCCUUAGGAUGGGACUGCGUCCGAUUAGGUUGUUGGCGGGGUAACGGCCCACCAAGCCAUUGAUCGGUACGGGUUGUGGGAGCAAGAUCCCGGAGAUGGAUUCUGAGACAUGAAUCCAGGCCCUACGGGGCGCAGCAGGCGCGCAAACUUUACAAUGCGAGCAAUCGUGAUAAGGAAACCCUGAGUGCCUGUCGAUGCAGGCUGUUCAUAUAUCUAAAUCAUAUGUGAAGAAAGGGCAGGGCAAGACCGGUGCCAGCCGCCGCGGUAAUACCGGCUGCUCGAGUGAUGGCCACUAUUACUGGGUUUAAAGCGUCCGUAGCUUGACUGUUAGGUCUCUUGGGAAAUCUUCGCGCUCAACGUGAAGGCGUCUAAGAGAUACCGGCAGUCUUGGAACUGG